GACGAACGCUGGCGGCGUGCUUAACACAUGCAAGUCGAACGGAAAGGCCCUGCUUUUGUGGGGUGCUCGAGUGGCGAACGGGUGAGUAACACGUGAGUAACCUGCCCUUGACUUUGGGAUAACUUCAGGAAACUGGGGCUAAUACCGGAUAGGAGCUCCUGCUGCAUGGUGGGGGUUGGAAAGUUUCGGCGGUGGGGGAUGGACUCGCGGCUUAUCAGCUUGUUGGUGGGGUAGUGGCUGACAAGGGCUUUGACGGGUAGCCGGCCUGAGAGGGUGACCGGCCACAAUGGGACUGAGAUACGGCCCAGACGCCUACGGGAGGCAGCAGUGGAGAAUAUGGCACAAUGGGCGGAAGCCUGAGGCAGCGGCGCCGCGUGCGGGAUGACGGCCUUCGAGUUGUAAACCGAUUUCGACUGUGACGAAGCGUGAGUGACGGUAAUGAGUAAAGAAGCACCGGCUAACUACGUG
rnacentral:rRNA from 1 species